CCUAUGGGUGGCAGCAGUGGGGAAUAUUGGACAAUGGGCGAAAGCCUGAUCCAGCCAUGCCGCGUGUGUGAAGAAGGCCUUCGGGUUGUAAAGCACUUUCAGUGGGGAAGAAAGCCUUGGGGCUAAUACCCUCGAGGAAGGACAUCACCCACAGAAGAAGCACCGGCUAACUCCGUGCCAGCAGCCGCGGUAAUACGGAGGGUGCGAGCGUUAAUCGGAAUUACUGGGCGUAAAGCGCGCGUAGGCGGUCUGAUAAGCCGGUUGUGAAAGCCCCGGGCUCAACCUGGGAACGGCAUCCGGAACUGUCAGGCUAGAGUGCAGGAGAGGAAGGUAGAAUUCCCGGUGUAGCGGUGAAAUGCGUAGAGAUCGGGAGGAAUACCAGUGGCGAAGGCGGCCUUCUGGACUGACACUGACGCUGAGGUGCGAAAGCGUGGGUAGCAAACAGGAUUAGAUACCCCUGUAGUC
rnacentral:rRNA from 1 species